UACCCUGUAGUUCCGGGCUUUUGUG
rnacentral:miRNA from 1 species